rnacentral:lncRNA from 1 species
GUAGAACUCUGGAAGCUCGUCACUCUCUUCUGAUUGAAGAGGGAAAAGCAAUGACUGCGGCUAUUCUUUGGCCUUGGUUGGCUGCUGGGAAUCCUGUGUCCAGGCUGUGGGAAGAUGUGAGUGCAGGCGUGAAGGCCAGCUGCUUGCCCGUCAGGAAGGCCGCCAGGGGCCUUUGGAUCAUCUUAUAUUCCUGGCGGUCUGAUCCCCAUGCUUUAUCCUUCGUCCCUCAGGAUCCACCAUGGGCCAGGUGGAUCACUGUCAGCAGGACAGACAACAUUUGAGACACAAUGGCAUUGCUGAGUCCCAAGGGAAUCAUCCAGGAAUAACAGCAUCUGGAUAUCCUUUGGCAUGCACAAAUGUGUGUGAGGACGUGGUGGCCAGAAGACGGUGGCUUGUGGUGAGGAAGGAGGACCCACAGCAAGGCCUGCUGACUACCAGCUUGGGAGUAUCCAAGAAACACAGUCAAUGUCCUGGUCACUUGGGCUUUUCUAUUCCAAUUUGAAUAUAUUAAAAUGCAACCUUCCAGCUGUGCAAAUCCCCAGGCCAUUGAAAUAAAAGGUUUUUAAGUUUAACCA